ACAGAUAUAGGUUAAUUAGACCUUUAAUCUUCAAAAUUAAAAGUUUUUCUGUA
rnacentral:tRNA from 1 species